ACUUCUAUUUUAAAUUUCCUUUUAAUAUCUCCCCAUUUCGUUAGGCGGCACCGAAAGGAUGCGAGUCCUUGCGAUUUCUUCUUCCUCCAUGGCCAAUCCGAGCUCUCCCUCUCCUCCAUCUUCAACAUUUCCACUCCAGUGGUUGUGAGUUCGGUUUGUGUGUAUCGUGUAGUGGUUCUCCCUUUCCCUGUUCAAUUUUGGUGCUCCUGUCCCUUGCAGAUCUUGUAGUUUGACUCGAUUCGAUCCCCUGAAGUUUGAUGUGGAUGAAGGUGCACGUAUUUUGAUUCCCUUGGGCCUUUUGUGGUGGAUGUAGUGGUAUGUGUUUGGAUCCCCCCAGGCGUUUUGAUUCUGCUAGCACAUUUGACGUAGAUGUAUGUGCAGAUGGUUGAUCGCCCUGGCCUUUUUUCUUGUUAGAUGUAGUAGUAGGUGUUCGAUUCCCCUGGGCGUCUAAUUCCCCUUGCCCGUUUUGAUGUAGAUGUAUGUCUAGAGGCUUGAUUCCGCUGGAGUAGCAAAUAUGAGCUCUACCUCAUUCUCCCAUUGUCUCUGUAGAUGUAGGUGUUUGAUUCCUCUUGGCUAGGUUUUGAUUUCAGUGUGGAUUUGUGGUCUGUAUCGGUGGGGCUUGUGCUUCUUCAUGUUGAUUAUUGUGAUAAUUCUUUCUAAAAUUGUGAUCUAGUUAAGUGGAGUGCAGGUAGUGUUUUAGCCAAACCUCCCCUCUCUGAACUCAUCUAUUUAGUCAUAUAUAUGAAGCAACCAAAUCUCUGUGUGUGUGUGUGUUUGCUGGUUUGCCUUUUUUUUUGCUUAGUUAAUGUGUCUUUCAGUUAUUGUCUCUGUUCAUGCUUAUCUCUGCACAAAUAGUUGUUGCAACGGGCUAUUGGAACUUUCGAUGCUCACACUAUAUUAGGUUGUUUAAUGUUUAGCUUGGUGUUAUGUAGUACCUGUUUGUUCACUACAUUUGGAGUAUGGUUCUGGCUCACACUGUAUUUGUAAUUCUACUAUAAAUUUGCACUAUAAAUCUAUUGAAAUUAUACUGUUAAUCCACUGCAAUUACAUGUAAUUCUACUGUAUUUUUACACUAUAAUUCUAUUGUAAAUUGCACUGUAAAGCUACUAUAAAUUACAGUAUUGAUCUACUACAGUUACACUGUAAUUCUACUGUAUUGUUUACUUUGUAAUUCUGCUGUAAAUUACACUGUAAUUCAACUAUAAUAUAAUGUAUUUUCACUGUUAUUUAACUGUAAAUCAAUUGUAAAUUACAAUGUGAUUCAAACUGUAAAACUGUGAUCUUCUACUGUAAUUGAACUGCAGAACGUUACACUCUAAAUUACACUAUUAAGUUCUUUACUCUUUUUCAACUCUUCCUUUUUGUGUGUCAUGUAAGCUUAUAGGAUUAGUUUAAUGGGUAGACUACGGAAGGUUCUCACCAGGACGUUCCUGUAGUAUCAACUUUUGAAACUGCAGAUUAUUUCGAUGAACCUUUUGUGCCCAGCAACUUCGUGGUUUAUGAUUCAUUUUAAUGAGUUGUCGUCGGUAGUUAUUCUUGUCUAUUUUUUUGUUCUUUUCCUCAUUUGGUUUAGUUCUUUAUUUUAGUUCAUUUUAAUUUGUUUAUUGGCUAUCUCUUUUUAUGCAGGAACUAUUUGUAGAUGAUGGCAACUUUUAGAAAGCUCUACUGAAGUUCUAUAUGAAUCAUUUGCGUGCUAUUUGUUUACUUGUAGUCCUUGCAUUUUUUAUUUUUCUUUAUUUAUGCCUUUUCCACCUUCCUUUGGUUUACAGUCCUCUUCAUUCAUUUGUUAUUUUUUUCAGAAAGUAAAAUGUUUGAAAUGAAAGCUUUCAUGUUCCGGCACAAAGAAUGUGGAGCCUACGACCCCCUUGAUCCAACGGGCAACAUCACAAUCAGAUGGGAUGUGAGGAGCUGGGUUCCAGAUGGCUAUGUGGCUGAGGUUUCACUAUUCAACUAUCAGCAGUACCGCCACAUUUAGCCACCGGGAUGGAAGCUCGGUUGGGUGUGGUCAAAGAAGGAGAUAAUCUGGUAUGUGCAAGGUGGAUAGGCUACAGAGCAAGGCGAUUGCUCCAAAUUCAAAUAUGAUAUCCCUCACAGCUGCAAGGUGAACCCGGAGAUAGCCGACCUGCUUCCCGGGGCACCUUCCAAUAGGCAGAGGGCCAACUGCUGCAAAGGUGGAGUCCUCAGCUCACUGGCACAGGACCCUGCUAAUGCUGUGGUGUGCUUUGAAGUGUCAGUUGGUCGAUCAGGGACCACAGCCAAGACUCUGGAAUUGCCUAUGAAUUUCACUCUGAAGGCCCCUGGUCCAGGGUAUACCUGUGGACCUGCAACCAAGUUAGAUGAACCUACAAAGUUCACUACACCAGAUGGAAGGAGGAAAACUCAAGCCCACAUGACAUGGACUGUGACUUGUACCUACUCACAGUUUCGCGCUCUGAGGUAUCCCACGUGUUGUUUAUCUCUCAGCGUGUUUUACAGCGACACACUUGUUACCUGCCCCAAAUGCUCAUGUGGCUGCCAAGAUAACAGCACAAAACCAGGAAUCUGUGUAGAGGGAAACUCACCUUAUCUUGGUUCUGUCAUGAAUGGUCAAGACAAGAACGGCUUGGCACCUCUGGUCCAAUGCACUACUCAUAUGUGCCCAAUAAGAGUUCAUUGGCAUGUGAAGGCUAACUACAAGGAGUACUUGAGAGUAAAGAUCACAGUGACAAACUUCAACUACGGGAUGAAUUACUCGCAGUGGAACCUAGUAGCUCAGCACCCUAAUGUCAACAGCUUGACUAGCAUUACCAGCUUCAACUACACAGCUCUGAACCCUUAUGGACUUAUGAAUGACACCGCUCUGUUAUGGGGCAUCAGGCACUACAAUGAUUAUCUCUUGACUGCUGGACCUGAUGGAUAUGUUCAGUCUGAGCUACUAUUCCGGAAGGACCCGUCAACAUUCACCUUGCGGGCAGGAUGGGCCUUUCCAAGAAGAGUGUACUUCAAUGGCGACAAGUGUGUGACGCCGCCUCCAGAUGCGUACCCGUGGCUGCCAAACGCAUCCACGAAAUCAACCGUAUCAGUUAUCGUCCCAUUGGUUCUUUGGAUGCUUGCUAAUCCCUACUUCUGAGAAGAAUGAAGGGAAAAGGCUCGGAAAAAUCCUUUGCUACGGAGCAAAGUUGCUGCUGGUAUUGGCGUCUGAUUCAACAGGAAUAGAGGCUGGGCAUCGUUGACAAAGACUGGAAUGAAAAAAAGAAGCAAUGCGUUGGAAGUGGUGAAAAAAAGAAGGUGCUGUGAACUAUCAGGAUGUUGUUGCGUGCUCUGGUUUUGCUUUCUUAGGUGCUAUCCUUGUUCCUGGUAUGCUUUGCUAGAGAUGUACGCUGUUUCAGUUUCUUUGACUGUAGUUUUGUGUACUUCCCAAGUUCCCAGAGUAUAGGACUUGAAAGUAGGCGCUUGGUAGAAAAAAGACCUCUGUUACUUUUGCUGUGUUAUCAGCUUCUUAAUUGAAGCUGGGGACGUUGCCCCUUGAGUCGGAAAAAAAGUAGAAGGAUUACCUUCCUCAAUUUUCUCAACUAAUCAAUCA